rnacentral:snRNA from 1 species
AGCUUUGUGCAGUGGCAGUAUCGUAGCCAAUGAGGUUUAUCCGAGGCACGAUUAUUGCUAAUAGAUAUGUUAGUGAAAUCAUACAGUACUUGUCCUUUCAUGAUCGGAUUAUUUCCCUUGGUAUAAUGUCUUCAAGGUUUAUCCAUGUUGUAGCAUGUAACAGGAUUUUUUAAAGUGGCUGCAUAAUA